rnacentral:rRNA from 1 species
AUUGAACGCUGGCGGCAUGCUUUACACAUGCAAGUCGAACGGCAGCGCGGGCUUCGGCCUGGCGGCGAGUGGCGAACGGGUGAGUAAUACAUCGGAACGUGCCCAGUAGUGGGGGAUAGCUCGGCGAAAGCCGGAUUAAUACCGCAUACGACCUGAGGGUGAAAGCGGGGGAUCUUCGGACCUCGCGCUAUUGGAGCGGCCGAUGGCAGAUUAGCUAGUUGGUGGGGUAAAGGCCUACCAAGGCGACGAUCUGUAGCUGGUCUGAGAGGACGACCAGCCACACUGGGACUGAGACACGGCCCAGACUCCUACGGGAGGCAGCAGUGGGGAAUUUUGGACAAUGGGCGAAAGCCUGAUCCAGCAAUGCCGCGUGGGUGAUGAAGGCCUUCGGGUUGUAAAGCACUUUUGGCGGGAACGAAAAGGACUGUGCCAAUACCACGGUUCGAUGACGGUACCCGCAGAAUAAGCACCGGCUAACUACGUG